UACGGAGGGUGCAAGCGUUAUCCGGAAUCAUUGGGUUUAAAGGGUCCGCAGGCGGAUUUAUAAGUCAGUGGUGAAAUCUCUCGGCUCAACCGAGAAACUGCCAUUGAUACUGUAAGUCUUGAAUUCGGUCGAAGUGGGCGGAAUAUGACAUGUAGCGGUGAAAUGCUUAGAUAUGUCAUAGAACACCGAUAGCGAAGGCAGCUCACUAGGCCUGGAUUGACGCUCAGGGACGAAAGCGUGGGGAGCAAACAGG
rnacentral:rRNA from 1 species